rnacentral:rRNA from 1 species
GAUGAACGCUGGCGGCGUGCCUAAUACAUGCAAGUCGAGCGAACAGAUAAGGAGCUUGCUCCUUUGACGUUAGCGGCGGACGGGUGAGUAACACGUGGGUAACCUACCUAUAAGACUGGAAUAACUCCGGGAAACCGGGGCUAAUGCCGGAUAACAUUUAGAACCGCAUGGUUCUAAAGUGAAAGAUGGUUUUACUAUCACUUCUAGAUGGACCCGCGCCGUAUUAGCUAGUUGGUAAGGUAACGGCUUACCAAGGCAACGAUACGUAGCCGACCUGAGAGGGUGAUCGGCCACACUGGAACUGAGACACGGUCCAGACUCCUACGGGAGGCAGCAGUAGGGAAUCUUCCGCAAUGGGCGAAAGCCUGACGGAGCAACGCCGCGUGAGUGAUGAAGGUCUUCGGAUCGUAAAACUCUGUUAUUAGGGAAGAACAAAUGUGUAAGUAACUGUGCACGUCUUGACGGUACCUAAUCAGAAAGCCACGGCUAACUACGUG